ACGAACGCUGGCGGCAUGCCUAACACAUGCAAGUCGAACGAGACCUUCGGGUCUAGUGGCGCACGGGUGCGUAACGCGUGGGAACCUGCCCUUAGGUUCGGAAUAACUCCCCGAAAGGGGUGCUAAUACCGGAUAAUGUCUUCGGACCAAAGAUUUAUCGCCUUUGGAUGGGCCCGCGUUGGACUAGCUAGUUGGUAGGGUAAAAGCCUACCAAGGCGACGAUCCAUAGCUGGUCUGAGAGGAUGAUCAGCCACACUGGGACUGAGACACGGCCCAGACUCCUACGGGAGGCAGCAGUGGGGAAUAUUGGACAAUGGGCGAAAGCCUGAUCCAGCAAUGCCGCGUGAGUGAUGAAGGCCUUAGGGUUGUAAAGCUCUUUUAUCCGGGAUGAUAAUGACAGUACCGGGAGAAUAAGCUCCGGCUAACUCCGUG
rnacentral:rRNA from 1 species